CUGCAGUAGUACGACAUCCAGUAGCUUACGUAUUAUACAACGUCAAUAUAGUACGUGGCAACUAAUGAGCUAGCUCCCCGAGGAAGUUCCGAAGUCAGUGACCAGAUCCACCGAUCGACUAAAUUACUAGUAGAAGUACGUAUGCUUCUUUAAUAUUAUGAAAUCCCUAGAGACGAACACAAAAAGGAGAUGAGUUGGAGGAACGCAACGGUUGCAAUUGACAUCAUCGAGCACAAAACUUUAUCUUGAGUUGAGACAUGCAAUCGAUGUCAAGAAGCAGUAUAGGCCUAUUAGAACUUAUAAGUUGAAACACAUCCCAAAAGCAUGUACAAAUUGAAGCAAACAAGCAAAGUACGCAAUUUCAUUUUUCAAGGCCAGUAGACAUGUACUUGCUCGCAUGGUUCGAUGCUCAAAAGCAACCGUGGCUUUGCUCAUCGAUCUUCAGUAUAGCUUGCAAGACAUGCUUUCGAACUAACCAAAACAAAUAUAGCCACACACACGCACACUUGUAAGCUGUGGUUGCCAGCAGGCUUGACUGCUUGAGCUCAAGUUUCCGAUCCUACCUGUUGUGAAGAGCAUCGGGGCAGCUCGGAAUCCGCCGCUUGUCGUCGCCGAACCGGGCGGCAACGGAAGGCGACGAAAAGCCUCCGGCGCCGCCGCCUGCAGGUAUUGGCCUAGAGCCCAGGACGUGUGACCCUGCGACGGCGACGCUUGGACGGCGGGGCACCGGAACCGCAGCUGCUAGAAGAUUAACGCUGCCAUGGAGGCAUACCCAGAAAAGGCACAUGAUGAUGACAGCUACAGAGUUCCUUCUCGGCCUCCUAUUCGCCGCCGCUCGCAUUGCAUCGACGUCCGUGAUAUCUUCCCGUGCAGCUGCAGGCUGCAGCUAGCUGCAGGAAGAGAGAGAGAGAGAGACACACACAGGAGGACGAGAAGGAAAGGAAGGAUCGAGGAGGAAGAGGAAGAGGGCUCGUUACUCGUUAGCACGCCGCAGCACAGGUGAAGCCGUGAGGGUGGGUGAGCCAUCUGUUUCUCCGCACCGAAACAAAACAAUGCGCGUGAGCAGCGGGAAUCAAGGAGUAUUGCCUGAAACGUUCCACACGAAAAACUUUGCGCGGCAUGUUAUACUAGUACAAGCCAAUAGUAGUAUGAAAAUAUUAGGAAAAUGACUCGGUGUGUUACUGGUACUCGAAGAAGCGUUCAGAGUUUUCUUGGCGAGUCAAAAGCAUUUUAAGUUUGACAAUGCUGAUGCAGAUUCUAAUUCCUGAGUGAUAAUGCCCAACUGAAAACCAUGGUAAACUAAGCGAGUGCACAGUUCUGGAUAAAAAGCGAGCGCACAGUUCUGGAUAAAAAGCGAGCGCACAGUUCUGGAUAAAACCAUUGCAUGAUUGACUACUGCCGGCUGCUUAAAAAACCAUCCACUUGUCGGCCGGGACCACUUCCUGACUUUGGUGAAACUAAUUGAUCCCUGUCCCCUUGAAUGCAACUAUAUGAACAUUACUGCACAAGUGUCCCUUUGAUGCUGGUAUAGUAUUGGCUCUCUUUUGUAUAGUAGUAGAUUAUGACUAUCAUUUAGCCAUAUUAGUUUAAUCUUGUCCUACGUGCACGUAGAUGUGUCAACGAAGGACCGUCAUGCGGUUAAAGCUAGUAUUGGUGGCGUUAUUUGGAGCUAGCCGCAGUGCAAGCUGAUGCACAUGAGAGCACAAGCAUUUGGGUCUCACGCUGAGGUACCAUCCCGCGCCACAGCCGGGGGUUUGCCCGGCUGAAGGCCGUUUCGACGACAAAUCAGUGUCAUUUUGCUAGCAAUGUUUGUUGGGAUUCUUAGCGUGAGCCUCCGUACUGCAUGCUGUCACAAACAUUGUAGUAUUCAGUUUUUUUAUCCCUCAAAAACGUGCGCUGCUCUUGUUCGAGGAAAAGAAACU
rnacentral:lncRNA from 1 species